rnacentral:tRNA from 1 species
GAGAUUCUAGCUUAAUUGGUUAAAGCAGACCACUCAUAAUGGUUGGAUAUUGGUUCAAUUCCAUUGGGUCUUA